rnacentral:rRNA from 1 species
UACAGGGGGUGCAAACGUUGCUCGGAAUUAUUGGACGUAAAGCGCGCGUAGGCGGCUACCUAAGUCGGAUGUGAAAGCCCCUGGCUUAACUGGGGAAGUGCACCCGAAACUGGGUAGCUAGAGUGCAAAAGAGGGUCGCGGAAUUCCCGGUGUAGAGGUGAAAUUCGUAGAUAUCGGGAGGAACACCGGUGGCGAAGGCGGCGACCUGGGUUGACACUGACGCUGAGGCGCGAAAGCGUGGGGAGCAAACAGGAUUGAGAUACCCCGAG